rnacentral:rRNA from 1 species
AUGAAAUCCCAAGAGGAAACAAUGACAUUUCCAGAGGAGUCCCUAGCCAGUAGCCACCAAACCCACACUUGCAGCGCUAAUGCUCUCCACAAAGCUUGCGUCCACAUUUAUCUUGAUAUAAUCCAAAGGAGAGGGUUGCCAAGCCACCUGAGUUCCCAAAGUAUUAGGAGCAUUGCCAAGACACUUGUAGGGCUUAUUUGGUUGGUGUCCUCGCCGUGUUGCGCCUUGCCUGCUGGAGCAUCGCAUGGAUCUGUUGGGAGCUCUUUUGGUUGUUGCCGUCAAAUGAAAACUUGCUUGCCGAGGCAUCCACACAUCUUGAUUAUCCUAGAAGUGUUUGAUUUGGAGCUCACAGAUGUGUGA